AUUGAACGCUGGCGGCAGGCCUAACACAUGCAAGUCGAGCGGAGCGGCGGACGGGUGUGUAAUGCCUAGGAAUCUGCCUGGUAGUGGGGGAUAACGUCCGGAAACGGGCGCUAAUACCGCUUACUAUCAGUUGAGCCUAGGUCGGAUUAGCUAGUUGGUGGGGUAAUGGCCUACAAAGGCGACGAUCAGUCACUGGUCUGAAAGGAUGAUCAGUCACACUGGAACUGGGACACGGGCCAGAAUCCUACGGGAGGCACCAGUGGGGAAUAUUGGACAAUGGGCGAAAGCCUGAUCAAGCCAUGCCGCGUGUGUGAGGAAGGUCUUCGGAUUGUAAAGCACUUUAAGUUGGGAGGCGUUACCAACAGAAUAAGCACCGGCUAACUUCGUGCCAGCCGCCGCGGUAAUUC
rnacentral:rRNA from 1 species